rnacentral:rRNA from 1 species
ACGCCCCGAAUUGUGGUCUAGAAAGGCGCCAUCGGCCGUUCGCGUCGCUCAAAUCCCUUGGAACAGGGUAUCGGAGAAGGUGAGAAUCCUGUACCGUGGCGUGGAGCGGCCGCACGAUGCGUCCUUGUCGAGUCGGGUUGCUUGGGAUUGCAGCUUGAAGUGGGUGGUAAAUUCCAUCUAAAGCUAAAUAUUGGCGAGAGACCGAUAGCGAACAAGUACCGUGAGGGAAAGAUGCAAAGAACUUUGAAAAGAGAGUCAAAGAGUGCUUGAAAUUGGUAGGAGGAAACCCGGUUGCGCCCAGCUUCGGCGCGUCGACUCAGCCGCGCCCUUGGGGCGCGGUGCACUUUGACGCGCCGUGUCAGCCGCCGCUCGAUGGGCGCCACACGGCCGGGGGCGAGGCUUCUGCGACCCCCCGGUUUGGCGCGCGCCGGGCGCCGGCUGACGGAAUGGGCGCCACCGACCCGUCUAGAAACACGGACCAAGGAGUCUGACACGUGUGCGAGUACCCGGGUGGCAAGCCCGCGUGCGCAAUGAAAGUGAAGGGCAUGCCCUGCCAACCGACCUUGACCUGCUGUGAGGGGUUUGAGUGGAGCACAUCUGUCGGGACCCGAAAGAUGGUGAACUAUGCCUGAGGAGGGUGAAGCCAGAGGAAACUCUGGUGGAGGCUCGUAGCGAUACUGACGUGCAAAUCGUUCGUCGAACUUGGGUAUAGGGGCGAAAGACUAAUCGAACCAUCUAGUAGCUGGUUCCCUCCGAAGUUUCCCUCAGGAUAGCUUGAACGCAACGGUUUUG